UAUCCUACGGGGGGCAGCAGUAGGGAAUCUUUCACAAUGGGCGAAAGCCUGAUGGAGCAACGCCGCGUGCAGGAUGAAGGCCUUCGGGUUGUAAACUGCUUUUAUAAGCGAGAAAUAUGAUGGUAACUUAUGAAUAAGGAUCGGCUAACUACGUGCCAGCAGCCGCGGUAAAACGUAGGGUGCAAGCGUUGUCCGGAAUUACUGGGUGUAAAGGGAGCGCAGGCGGACUGUCAAGUUGGGAGUGAAAACUACGGGCUCAACCCGUAACUUGCUUUCAAAACUGGCGGUCUUGAGUGGUGUAGAGG
rnacentral:rRNA from 1 species